GCCGCCGUGGUGGAAUUGGUAGACACGCCAGGUUUAGGUCCUGGUGGCCGUUAGGCUGUGGGGGUUCAAGUCCCUCCGGCGGCACCA
rnacentral:tRNA from 2 species